AAUCAGAAGAAUUUUAGACCGAUCCGGACCCCAAUAUCUAGAUUGAGACUUACGAUAAGCGAGUAUUUGAAUGUGAUUCGAAGGUGGAGACUUCCGCGAUGAGAUAAUAAAUCACUAAAAGGAAUAACGGCUAUGAGCUCCAAAACAUGAAGAUUUUUCCAUAAGAAAAGGCAGAACCGGUUUGUCCAACAAUGCUUUUGUGUUGGGUUAAGAAACCCGUACGACUCGAACUAGUUUGCAUUCCAUGUAGGGCGAAUUUUUUUCUUUUCUUGUUUUUCAUUUCCACUCCACUUACUUAACCUUUAUCCUCUAUAUUUGAUCAAGCGACUUUUUUAAGUUACCCCAAAUAAAUAUAUUGAAAAAUCUGUUAAUACAAGUUUAUAUAUCAAUAGAUUUAAGAUGGUUGGAUGAUGCUUUAAUUGGAAUAUUAACUGAGCUGUGACUGUGUUUUAUCUAUCGUUUGCUCAAAGUCCGAUAGCUCUUCUGAACUGCUGGGCAUGUCAGCUAAAUUUAACACUGUUCCAAUUAUGUUUUUUUCAUUAGAUUAAAGCGGAUUACGUCAGAUUUGUCAGAGUGUUUGAAUGCUGUGUUAAUUACCCAACAGUUUGUUGUUAACCAAUAAAGGUGCUUGCAAAUGGCAAUAAAAGUGGCUAGCGAUUAACUAGAACAACAGCCUAUAAUUUAUAUAUACAUCUCUGUGUCGACGUAAUCUUCACAGCUUUUGUACGAUAAAAUGUUUGUCAUCAGUUUACAAAAUAAGCACAUAAAGUAAUGAGUAAUUGCUUCCAAGAAUUUACAGCGAACAAUCGUGCAUAUAUGUAUAAUAUAAUAUACUAUAUGUGUAUACAUAUAUAUGCGAUGUUUUAUAGAAAACUAUUUUUUCCAUAUUUUCAGGUCUACGGAAGAGCGCGCCUUCAGCAAUCAAGAUAAUCAAACGAGUGUUAAAGAUAUUCAUUCAUUUACUCCCUCGUGAGAGAAUUUCCGCGAUGGACUGAAAACCAUGUGAAACGUGCCUACGCAUUGAAUUAAGUUGCAUAGCAACUCAUUCGUACAACAUGUACAUUGAGCGUAUAUGAUAUAUACAAGCUUCCAUUAAUUCCUUCAAUCCAAACGUUAUAAGAAAUCCGCGAUAAUAUGCUGUACGCAUGCUUACAACGGAAAAUUUAAUUAGAGCAUUAUUGAAAUCAAGCGCUCUGUUGAGUUUAUAUGCUCUGCUUGAACUGAACGAAUAAUUUGUUGGUCUAUGUUCCAUUUUCCAAAUCCCUAAUAUUCGUAGUUACUAAAAAAUGGCAACUUUGAAUCAGCGUUGGUAAUGGCAACUCUUUUACAAACUGAGACAUUGUUAUAAUUAAUUUAAGACAGGCUUUUUAGUAGCACUUAUGUUGAUAGACAUCAAAAAUGGUAUACGUCAGUUUUUAACAAAAAAAAAAAUUUGAAAGCUUUCGGAAGUAUUUUGAGGACAUCCACCUAAAGAUGACUGACAAGUUCGUGAACUUAAAAGGCGCCCAAAGAAAAAUCAGAUUGUACAAGAAAAAAGCACAAAUAAACUGAAGAAAAAGAAACAACAAAAAAAUAAUUGUAAUCAAAACAAUGAAGAAACAGAUGUAUACCUAGUAAAAAAAAAAAAAAUAAAAAAGAAGCGAUAUUCAGCACAAAGGAUUACAGGAAAGGAAUUGAAUUGAUGAAAAAGCAAUAGUUAACGGAAUGAAAACAUUAUAAAACAUCAAAAGUGAAUUUGUGCAAAUAAUUACAAUAAAGAUCAAAAUAAAAAGGAAACAUAUAACGACGUUUAGAAUAGAAAUUUUGUAGGUGGUUUUUGAACAUGUGAACGUUUAAAAUUUUGUAUUUUAAAGCACAGAUAUGUCUUAUACCCAACUACAAUGACUCCAGUCUACAGUCACCUUGAUUUUAAGUAGUCUUCUCCCAAAUGCUUUACAGUCUCCAGACCAGCUUUUAAUAACAUCCGACAACACCGGAAGGUCUAUGAACAACGUGAGAUGUGGAUGGUUGUUGUGUAAGCGCUUGCAAUAUUUUGGCUACCAGUAAAUAUGAAUAACCUUUCACAAGCAACAAAGUGUAAAAGGAAUAACACAGCCAAGUGACCCGAAGAAAUACCACAAAGUGGCAAAUAAACUGUGAAAAAUUGGAAAAAGAACGGACAGCUAAAUCCCAGAAAAAAAUUUGAAUGGAAAAAGGCUCGACACAGAUUUACAAAAAGUAUCAAUUAUCGGUUAUAGAAGCAAAACGGAAUUGAAAUUUAAUUCGCAAGUACCAUAUACUCAUACGGCUAAAUAGAAUAUGUAACAACCAAACCAAACUUCUGCCGGAGGUAAAAAGAGCCAACCAUAGUCAUGUCUAUGGUUUAUUUGGACUCUUGCAGCAUCGUUUAUACCAGCCCUGAACAAUGCCAAUCAAUUUAACGGAUUGGUGCAGCAUAGUCAACCCUCAACCACGUGAAACGUUGAAUUCAUAGAUUCUUUCCAGCUAACUGAAGUGUGAUUACUACGACUGAUUGGAUUUCUGAUACUGAUACGGUUGAUAAAAUUUGAAUACAUACACUUGAAGGCAUAACUACAUUGGCAGUCUUAAUCUUGGCUAACAAAACAUAUUGAAUCAUAUUGUAUCAUAUCGUAAAGAUUCGUAUAUUAUGUAAUACAUAUUCUUAAUGAGUAUAUUUAUGCAAAAAAUAAUAAGCGAAUCACCUUGCAGCCAGGUUACAGCGAAAUAGAUUGAGACAUUUAUAUGCUAAUUUAAAUUUCGCUUUCUGGGAGUGACUUAAAAUUUAUACUUAUUAAAAUAAAAUUGAAAAUCUGAA